UCUCAGGAUAGUAUCCUCAGUCACAAAGCUGGGCAAAGAACUGAGAACUCAUUUACAGUUGUGAAGAAAAGGACUGGGAGGUACAGAUGGAGUGAGAGUUCUCCAGAGCUUGGUUUUCUGUCACCUUUGUAGUGAAGAGCUGUUGGUUUCCUUCUGCCUCCUCCGUUUCUCCAGCCUGAAGUACAUCAAGGGGUUGAUUUCCCCUGCAAAGCCAGAAAAGAGGCAAUAAUAGAUUUAAAGGGAUAUAGAGUGGUGAUAGAGAUAGAUGAGCCUAGAAGCAGCAGAACUGUGGGGACUGGAUUCAUGACCAGUGUUCCAGAAUUCAUUGUUUAUGCACCAGAGAAAUUCUAUUGUUGUACCAUGAUGGCAUCCUCAACAUUUGGAACCGCUAUUGGUAUCACUGGAAGGCUGGAAUAGAAUCUUUAGAGGUAGAUGGGAUCGUGACUGAAAACUUGGCGACUUUCCCAUGACCCCCGUGCUGGAAACCCCAUGUGUUACUCACUUCUGCUUGGUUGUGCCGCAGUAAUAAA